rnacentral:rRNA from 1 species
AUUGAACGCUGGCGGCAUGCCUUACACAUGCAAGUCGAACGGCAGCACGGGAGCAAUCCUGGUGGCGAGUGGCGAACGGGUGAGUAAUAUAUCGGAACGUGCCCAGUAGUGGGGGAUAACUGCUCGAAAGAGCGGCUAAUACCGCAUACGACCUGAGGGUGAAAGCGGGGGAUCGCAAGACCUCGCGCUAUUGGAGCGGCCGAUAUCAGAUUAGCUAGUUGGUGGGGUAAAGGCCUACCAAGGCGACGAUCAGUAGCUGGUCUGAGAGGACGAUCAGCCAAACUGGGACUGAGACACGGCCCAGACUCCUACGGGAGGCAGCAGUGGGGAAUUUUGGACAAUGGGCGAAAGCCUGAUUCAGCAAUGCCGCGUGUGUGAAGAAGGCCUUCGGGUUGUAAAGCACUUUUGUCCGGAAAGAAAUGGCUCUGGUUAAUACCUGGGGUCGAUGACGGUACCGGAAGAAUAAGGACCGGCUAACUACGUGCCAGCAGCCGCAGUAA